CCUACGGGUGGCAGCAGUGAGGAAUAUUGGUCAAUGGGCGUAAGCCUGAACCAGCCAAGUAGCGUGAGGGAUGAAGGCCCUAUGGGUUGUAAACUUCUUUUAUAAGGGAAUAAAGUGAGGGACGUGUCCCUUUUUGUAUGUACUUUAUGAAUAAGGAUCGGCUAACUCCGUGCCAGCAGCCGCGGUAAUACGGAGGAUCCGAGCGUUAUCCGGAUUUAUUGGGUUUAAAGGGAGCGUAGGUGGGUUUUUAAGUCAGUUGUGAAAGUUUGUGGCUCAACCAUAAAAUUGCCUUUGAUACUGGAAGGCUUGAGUAUAUUUGAGGCAGGCGAAAUUCGUGGUGUAGCGGUGAAAUGCUUAGAUAUCACGAAGAACCCCGAUUGCGAAGGCAGCCUGCCAAGC
rnacentral:rRNA from 1 species